rnacentral:rRNA from 1 species
UACGAAGGGGGCUAGCGUUGCUCGGAAUCACUGGGCGUAAAGCGCACGUAGGCGGCUUUUUAAGUCAGAGGUGAAAUCCUGGAGCUCAACUCCAGAACUGCCUUUGAUACUGAGAAGCUUGAGUCCGGGAGAGGUGAGUGGAACUGCGAGUGUAGAGGUGAAAUUCGUAGAUAUUCGCAAGAACACCAGUGGCGAAGGCAGCCCCCUGGGCUAACACUGACGCUCAUGCACGAAAGCGUGGGGAGCAAACAGG